UACGGAGGGUGCAAGCGUUAAUCGGAAUUACUGGGCGUAAAGGGUGCGUAGGUGGUUUAUUAAGUUAACUGUGAAAUCCCUGGGCUCAACCUGGGAAGGUCAGCUAAGACUGAUAGACUCGAGUAUAGGAGAGGGUAGUGGAAUUUCCGGUGUAGCGGUGAAAUGCGUAGAGAUCGGAAGGAACACCAGUGGCGAAGGCGGCUACCUGGCCUAAUACUGACACUGAGGCACGAAAGCGUGGGGAGCAAACAGGAUUAGAUACCCUGGUAGUCCACGCUGUAAACGAUGUCAACUAGCUGUUGGUCUUAUAAAUGAGAUUAGUGGCGCAGCAAACGCGAUAAGUUGACCGCCUGGGGAGUACGGUCGCAAGAUUAAA
rnacentral:rRNA from 1 species